AUCUUGAGGUCCUCCUCGCCCCCAGUCUUUAUUUCCAAUUGCUUCAGCCGCUGCUUCCAGUGAAGCUUUCAUGUACUGUCCAUGACAGAGGAAAUUUCCAUGUUCCAUUGCCUUCUGGAUAGGCUGGGUAUCUCAGCUCUCCACAAGGACCCAUGCCUACUUGAACUUCCUGCAAUACAAAUUGACUCAACUUCUUAAGCUUCAAGAAACGACUUCUUUACUAAUUGGUGGGAGGACCUCUAUUUUUCUACUUCUGUUAUGUACUUUGCUUUUUGCUAUGUUGGUAUAGGAUAAUUGUAAUAUCCUCCACAUUAACAUCUUUUUUGAUGAAUUUGUCUCUAAAUUUUUUGGCAACCUAAUCAAUUCAUUUUUGUGACCUGCCUCCUGUGUAAUUUGAAAUUCUGGUUUCCUUAUUGGCAUUGAGGACUGCUGAGUAAUGGAUCUAUUUAAUUACUUUUCUUCCUUAUGUAUAUCUUGUUCUAGUUCACCCUAUUUCUUUUAAUCUGUUUUUUUGUGUGUUCUUUAAGAACCUAUUUGUAAGGGUGAGUAUUCGUUCGGUUUCACCGAACUGACAAUCUCCUCGAUCGACCGAAUAGCUAAAACUGAACCGAACAAAUAAAGAAUUCUAACCGAAACCGAAUCGACCGAGUUAGAAAAGGAAUAAAAUUUCAAAACCGACCGAAUAGGUCGAUAAUUUGGUCGGUUCGGUUAAAGCCGAAUAAAAUACAAGAUAAAGUUUUUAGUUUAUUCAAUUGGUUUGGUUAUAUGGGUAAUUUAAUUAUCAAACCGAACUGAAAACCAAAUACCAAAUUUUUUAUUAUAUCAAAACCAAACCAACUGAACUUAAAGUUAUAACCGAAUCGAACCGACCAAAAGUCAUCGGUUCAGUCGGUUAAAUGGCCUGCCAGUUUUUUUUGCUCAACCCUACCUAUUUGUUCACUAUCAUUUCCUUGGUUAGACUCUUGUGGGACUUGGGAAAGGGCAAAGCAAGAAUACAAAGGCAUAUUGCCAUCUGUUAAGGAAUAAUAAUUGUAAUAAUUGUCAUUAUUGACAAGCUUAAUACGCAAUGUUAUAAUAGGUGAAGGAUGGGGUCUAGUUAUGGAUAGCUUAUCUUUGGAAGGUUCAUGGAAAGUAGGAGUUGAUUUCUGGUUAAAAAUAAGUGAGUAGUAUCAGCUUAGAAAUUGUGCUUUAAAUUUUUUGUGCUGUACAGAAGAUAAACUAAAGUCUAAUCACUAAUGAAAACUAUUGUUCUCGUAAUCCUAAGCUUCGCAUUUUCUAUCUUUCAUAGCAUACAGGAUUUGUGUUUUUUUUUUCCAUAGAGAAGAAAAAUAAAAAAAGCUAUUUUCUGCUGCUUUCUAGAAGUAGGUUAAUUAUUUCUAGUUAUUCGAAAAAUUCCAACUUUAUAUCUCCUACUUUACUUUCUCCUGUUUCUGUAUACUUCAAAUGUGUGUAUGAGCGAUAAAGCAGCUUUCUGUGUUUCAAUUUUACUAUUCUUUUAUGAUCUCGUUUCUAUCUGCUUUUAAGUGCGGCCUUUUCAACUUCAAAUGCAUUCUUGUCUUUUUUCUGGGUGAUUGUAUAAUGUGAUUAGAGAUUAAAUACAUGUAGUUUGAUAUAUUAGUAGCCUUUUAACUCUCUCUUGAUGCACUUGUCAUUUGUCAGUUUAUUGCUCACAAUUUUCUUUUCUAAUGCAUAUGCAUGAAUAGGGAUGUCUCCUAAACUUGAUUAAAGAUUCUGGUUUCAGCCCAUUGUGCUCUGUUUACGUUACGAUUAUGUUUUUUUUACUGUAAUUUCUUUUGUUUCUUUUUGUGACACAAUUUGGUGAUUAUAUCAUGUGUCUACUUUUCUUCUAUUGCUUGAAGUUUAGAAGCUUACCACGAUAACUUCUCCUAGGUAAUCUUGAAAUCUGUCGCGGAAGCUCCUCAUGUAAUCAGUGUAAACUUGUAUGGGUGUUCUCCCUCUUAGAACUGGUAAUGAGUCGCAACCCAAGGAAAUGUACUCAGGAUUCCUUCUACCUGAUCUGUCUGUGUAGACUAGUUCAGGAUUUUUACUGAUUUCUUCCAGCACCCAUGGAGGAAGGGUGAUGCUAAAAUGUCAAGAGAAAAAUUGAAUUAGUUACUCAACCCAUUUUUAGAAACAGAAUUGAAGUCUGGCUAACAUUUAAUAGUUAUGCUCUCGAGUAAUGCAAAAAUUAUUUCUAGCUAAAUGAUUCUUUUCUAUUUUUGUAAGAGAUAGGAAUAAAGUUAAAAGCUAUUGCACGUCGCAGUCCAUCCGGUCCUCUGCUAAAUGUUAAAGAUUAGAUCCUCAAGUACCUGUAUGAAUCUCCAACAUUUCCUCCACAUUGAUGGAAGGACAUAACAGCUUGAAGCUUCAAACCAUGCUUCUGCACCAUAUGCACAAGUUCAGCGUACCCUUCCCAGUUGUACUUUAGCGGUCCAUCUUUUUCCACCAAUCCCCACCAAGCAUCAACCAUCACUCCUUCAGCUCCUGCAUUCUUCAAGGCCAUCAAACUAGCAUUCAUUGCUCGCGGCCUGUUUAGUUUCCCCCCAAGCGUGACCGUGUCAAGUGGCAACAUCACAAAAACUGGCACCUUAGAGUCAUUACUACUUUGCACAUUGGAUUUUGCAUGUAGCUGUUCGUGCUUGCUACUCUUCAUGCUUUCCAUGAUGAGAAUGUCAUCGUGUGAGAGAUGUGCUUCUUCCAUUGAAUUCUUUGCUCGAAGACAGCAUAAUGGCUUGAUUUGUGCAAAGCGAAUUGUGCUAGAGAAGUCAUCCGACGUCUUGAGGCUUUUGGUGUCCUUAAGAUUGAGAAAAGAAGUUGAAGAAUGUAAUGUCAAAGACAUAUUUCUGUUUGGGGUUCUGAGAACUGAAGAGGGAGAAGAGAUGUAGAAACAAGCAAAGAUUGCAAGUGUUUAUUUAUAAAGAAAAUUCUGAUUCAAGGUUUGAAGAAGACAUUGUUGGUGGGCUCUAGUUUAAAAUAGAAAUAGAGCAAAAUAUCAAAAUUUAUAAGCUCUCCUAUUCAAAAUCUUUUCACCAUACACGUUAUCACCUUUGCCAUAUUUAAUACAGACAAAAUAACAAAUUUCAAUAUAUGUCGGUCAUCCAUUUUGUUGAUCUCUUUUUUCCCUUCAAUUGUGGAAUGCCGACUCAAAGAUAUAUCUGGCAUUUCGUAACUUGAGUAUUGAAAUAUCUUGGAUGAUGUAAGCAUUGGAUAUUUCAGUUUGUUCCUUUCAUCGCAAUGAGCCACGCGACUGUUCAAAUGGCUGUAACUCGCAGAAGUUACCUACAGUAAAUAUUUUUGUGAUUUUGGAUUGAUAAUUUGCUUUCCCCACUCUGUUCCUCUCUUCUAAUUGUAGUUUAUGCAUAUCUAGUGAGUCUGGCAGGGUAUCAAUUUUUUUAGGAUGUUAGUUGAUAUCAAGAUGGAUCUUUGUGAUAGUAAUAUUAUUUUAUUACUAUUGCUGUAUUAGUUGUUUCUGUAUUAUUCAUUCUUAUUUUUGUUUUUUUUUUUAUUUAGAUGGCAUGUAAGAAAGUAUUAUUCACUGAGUUUAUUCUCUUCAAUUUGGUCAUCAGCAAAUAAAAUUGAUUGGCGUGAUAUUAAUAGUCGACUGUCGUCACAUUUAUGCCAGACACUUUAGACUCUCGCACACGCGUGUGCACGCUUACAUGCAUACUUUACGAAAUGUGCAUAAGUUCGAUAAGAUGACCGAAGAACGAAAGUGAACGGAAAUGAAGAAACUACAGUGGUGAUAUCUAUUGAAAGUGUCAAUUUUGUAUAGGUGAAGGUAAAAUUUAAAAGCAGGUGAAAAUGUAGGAUAAACCUUCUUUGGUUGAUGUUAGUUUCCAUCUCUUUAUCAAACAAUCAACUUUAUUUGGUAGAUAUUAGUCUACGUUCUCUAUUUCUCUAUCCUUGAUUGAGAAUCUAGUUUCAUUUUCAUAAAUGAAAUAAGGUGAUCUUGGCAAUAUGCAUGAUUAGAUCCCUGCACUAUCACAUUUUUUUAAAUUGGAUUCUUCCACUUUUAUUUGUUA